CUACCUUUGGGGCGUAGAGGUGGCCGGACCCCGAUUGCGGGGCGAGGCUGAAAAGGGAAUCCGGUUCAAAGCCGGAGCUGUCCCCGCAACUGUACGCUUCACGAAUCGGCGCGCCUCAGCUGCCACUGUUUCUGAGAAGGUAACUCCAGCCGGAGUUGCCGGAGAAAUGGGAAGGCGGCGCGCCAGAAGCAAGCCAGGAGACCUGCCUUUGCAUUUCCCCAUGU
rnacentral:ncRNA from 2 species